CCGAAGGCACAUUCCUAAGGCCCUAGCACAACGUGGAGCGCAUGAUAGGCAUGCUUGUUCUUUCUCCUCAUUUCCCCCUGUUCUUUCCUCAUUUCCUUGUGCUAAGUAAAAUGACUUUAGAACCUGGGUGGGAAGUAGGGAAGAAGCCGUGAGUCCCGUCCUGACCUCCAGACCUUGCAUGUGGAUUGGUUUUGCUGCUGUAAGGAAAGGGCUCAAGGACAGCAGCUCAGCAUCCUGUGGCUGCACACGCAGAGUGAGAGGGACAUGGUGGCAGGGCCUAUCGAGGGUCUGCGUGGCCAGGAACGAGGAGAGUCAUCACUCCUUCCGGCCCAAGGGGAGACGCAGCUGCAUAAAGAACCACCCCCCCACCGCCGCCUCCACUGUCUCACUGUCUGGCCCCUACUCUUCAGCCCUUCCUCAUCUAGAGCUGGAUCUGACACCAAAGGCGUCUUGUGAGCAGUGUCAUGACCGAGAAUGAAUACUCUGGAUGUGGUGGCUGGCUCCUUGUGAAGAAGAAUUCAAUCAGAUUCCAUUUGAUUAAUCUGCAUUGAGAUCCUAGUAUGUGUCCGACACUAUGCAGAAAUACUUCACUCCCUCUUCCAUGGCAGACCAUGAUGAACUAGGGUUUGCUGUUUUCACGGCUUCUGUCACUGUUGGAGCUGAGGCUGAGGCUGCAGCAGGAGCUCCUCUGGCCCCGAGGCAAGAGACAUGUUCUCUGCAUCCCCAGGGGACCCAAAGCAACUUCUGGUUUGGGUUAAAGAGGACUUGGGUGACCCCACCCUGCCAGUCAUCCACCCUCUGGCAGCCAGGGCGGCAGCAGGGGAGGGGGCAGAAGGCUGCCACAGUGCUUCUCUCCCCUGCCAUUUCCUCUGCAGCUCCCUCUCUGGCCCUGUUUUUCAGACCUCUAGUAAUAAAAACAAGCCAAUAAAAUGAACAUGAAAAUAUAUUCAUUAGGAUUUAUAAUGCUCAUUAAAACUGCCUGUGUACGAAAGCAUGACUUAGCUUCAUAUAAGUGGGAAAAAAAUGCAAAUUAUACUGCAUGCAAAG
rnacentral:lncRNA from 1 species